rnacentral:rRNA from 1 species
CCUACGGGUGGCAGCAGUGGGGAAUAUUGGGCAAUGGAGGCAACUCUGACCCAGCAACGCCGCGUGAAUGAUGAAGGUCUUCGGAUUGUAAAGUUCUGUGAUGGGGGAUGAACACAAUGACGGUACCCCAAUAGCAAGCCACGGCUAACUACGUGCCAGCAGCCGCGGUAAUACGUAGGUGGCAAGCGUUAUCCGGAUUGACUGGGCGUAAAGGGUGCGUAGGUGGUUUAGUAAGUUGGCGGUGUAAUUCCGGGGCUCAACCUGGGCGCGACCGCGAAAACUAGUAGACUUGAGUGCAGGAGGGGAAAGUGGAAUUCCAAGUGUAGCGGUGAAAUGCGUAGAUAUAAGGAGGAACAUCAGUGGCGAAGGCGACUCACUGGACUGUAACUGACGCUGAGGCACGAAAGCGUGGGGAGCAAACAGGAUUAGAUACCCUUGUAGUC